AUUGAACGCUGGCGGCAUGCUUUACACAUGCAAGUCGAACGGUAACAGGUUAAGCUGACGAGUGGCGAACGGGUGAGUAAUGCAUCGGAACGUGCCCGAUCGUGGGGGAUAACGCAGCGAAAGCUGCGCUAAUACCGCAUACGAUCUGAGGAUGAAAGCGGGGGACCGUAAGGCCUCGCGCGAUCGGAGCGGCCGAUGUCAGCUUAGGUAGUUGGUGGGGUAAAGGCCCACCAAGCCGACGAUCUGUAGCUGGUCUGAGAGGACGACCAGCAACGCUGGGACUGGGACACGGCCCAGGCUCCUACGGGAGGCAGCAGUGGGGAAUUUUGGAAAAUGGGCGAAAGCCUGAUCCAGCACUGCCGCGUGCAGGAAGAAGGCCUUCGGGUUGUAAACUGCUUUUGUACGGAGCGAAAAGGUCCUUUCUAAUACAAGGGGCUCAUGACGGUACCGUAAGAAUAAGCACCGGCUAACUACGUGCCAGCCGCCGCGGUAA
rnacentral:rRNA from 1 species